AAAAGGGAACGGGCAUAAAAACAAAACAAAAAGAAAAGAAGUGUAGAUUUCUUUUAUAUGUUGUGUACUCCCUUUCUUCUGACUGAUCUUCUUCUGCUUGUCUGAUUCUUCUAUCUCCAAUUUAUAAAAAAA
rnacentral:ribozyme from 1 species